AUACUUACCUGGGUGAUGUCAAUUGAUGAUUAGAAAGGUUGAUGGCCUAGGAAGGAUACAUCCAUUGCACUUGGGAGAGGUGUAUAACUAGCAUCUCCCAUUGAGGAGAGUGCAUGUCAUAAUUUUUGGUAGCAAGGGAUCAUGUUUGCAUGACCUCCAC
rnacentral:snRNA from 1 species